AAAAAAAACUUGUCAUUAUAAUAUAAAAUUAUCUCAAAACAUAUUUUUUAUGACGUUUUUUCACCACUUGCAGGCAAUAGUGAUUUUCACUUACAUAGAGUACUAAUUUUAUUAAGGAAAAAUCAUGUUCAUUCAUAAUUUUCAUUUUAAAAGUGUAUUCAUUCCUUCUGCAAAUCCAUAUCCAUGCCUAUUCCCUAAUCCAUGCCUAUUCCCCAAUAUCGUCAACGCGGAUAGUUCGUUAGUCGAAAAUACUGAAUAAUUAAACAAACCAAAUGGCAUCACUGGUGGUUCUUUUUUCCACUCCGCUAAACUGUCAUCUCAAACAAAAACAAAUGGAUCAUACAACUGCUAUGAAUACAUUCAACUUGUUUGCUUCCAUCAAUCGGUAAGUGAGAAAGAUGAUUUCUCCCAUCACCACAGUACGGUUUUCCACUUCUAUCACAGCAGCCAACAACAUCCGUUUUCCUGCAGCAGUAACCUCCAACCCUUGUUGGCAAUGCCGGGGGACAGCAUCAACAGUAGCAGCAGCAGAAUUUGACCAUGGUAUGGUAUUGCGAAGAACUUUCCCCAUUAGAGGUUCCGUGCUUCGCGCACAUUCAAAAAUCCUCUUCAGACACGAAAACUCAACGACAAGGAGGUAUUUAUCAACUUGCUCAGCUGAAUUACCACCCGGAGGAACCCGAAUACACUGAUUCCGUUGUAUAGUAGAAUGAAAAUAGGCGAGGUAAGCGAACGUAAUCGCAUGAUAUUUUAAUGUUCGCAUUUUUAUCCGGAUCAUACAACUGCUAUGAAUACAUCCGACUCAAUCAAUCGGCGAGUGAGAAAGAUGAUUUCCCUCAUCACCACAUUGCUUAUUUCCACUUCUGUCACGCCAGCCAACAGCAUCAGCUUUCCCGCAGCAGUAUCCUUUAAGUCCAGGGUGCUAUUCCGGGGAACAGCAUCAACAGUAACAGCAGCAGGACCUGGCCAUCGAUAGUAUUUCGAGCAAUAUUCCCCAUCGGAGAUCCCGUGCUUCACGCACAUUGAAGAAUCCUCCUCAGCCACAUAUCUGUGUCAUCAAGGGCAAGGAGGUAUUCAUCAAUGUACUCAGUCGGAUUUGAAUCGUCAAUCCAGACAACCCGGAUGCACCGAUUCCAUUAUAUACCUUAUUUUUAUUAU